rnacentral:rRNA from 1 species
AGGGAAAGGUGAAAAGCACCCCGGAAGGGGAGUGAAAUAGAACCUGAAACCGUGUGCUUACAAGUAGUCAGAGCCCGUUAAUGGGUGAUGGCGUGCCUUUUGUAGAAUGAACCGGCGAGUUACGAUUUGAUGCAAGGUUAAGCAGUAAAUGUGGAGCCGUAGCGAAAGCGAGUCUGAAUAGGGCGUUUAGUAUUUGGUCGUAGACCCGAAACCAGGUGAUCUACCCUUGGUCAGGUUGAAGUUCAGGUAACACUGAAUGGAGGACCGAACCGACUUACGUUGAAAAGUGAGCGGAUGAACUGAGGGUAGCGGAGAAAUUCCAAUCGAACCUGGAGAUAGCUGGUUCUCUCCGAAAUAGCUUUAGGGCUAGCCUCAAGUGAUGAUUAUUGGAGGUAGAGCACUGUUUGGACGAGGGGCCCCUCUCGGGUUACCGAAUUCAGACAAACUCCGAAUGCCAAUUAAUUUAACUUGGGAGUCAGAACAUGGGUGAUAAGGUCCGUGUUCGAAAGGGAAACAGCCCAGACCACCAGCUAAGGUCCCAAAAUAUAUGUUAAGUGGAAAAGGAUGUGGCGUUGCCCAGACAACUAGGAUGUUGGCUUAGAAGCAGCCAUCAUUUAAAGAGUGCGUAAUAGCUCACUAGUCGAGUGACACUGCGCCGAAAAUGUACCGGGGCUAAACAUAUUACCGAAGCUGUGGAUUGUCCUUUGGACAAUGGUAGGAGAGCGUUCUAAGGGCGUUGAAGCAUGAUCGUAAGGACAUGUGGAGCGCUUAGAAGUGAGAAUGCCGGUGUGAGUAGCGAAAGACGGGUGAGAAUCCCGUCCACCGAUUGACUAAGGUUUCCAGAGGAAGGCUCGUCCGCUCUGGGUUAGUCGGGUCCUAAGCUGAGGCCGACAGGCGUAGGCGAUGGAUAACAGGUUGAUAUUCCUGUACCACCUAUAAUCGUUUUAAUCGAUGGGGGGACGCAGUAGGAUAGGCGAAGCGUGCGAUUGGAUUGCACGUCUAAGCAGUAAGGCUGAGUAUUAGGCAAAUCCGGUACUCGUUAAGGCUGAGC